UAUGGCUCAUGCUUUUUCUCUUUUUCUAUUUUCUGAUUUCAUUUUCCUUUUAUUAUUUUAAUUCCAUUUAACUUUGAAAAUUCAUAUCUCUCUCAUUAUUGGUCCAAAAAUUAUGGGACCAAUUUCAUUCUUCUCCUUUUAAUUUCUACUUUCUAAAAUUGAUUUUUAAUAUUUUUUAUUUUGUCAUUUGAUAUUUUUUUGUAAUUUUCUCUUUUCUGGUUAUUUUUAAUUCAUUUAAAAUAGUUUUUGAUAUUCAAAAAAUACAAAAAAU
rnacentral:lncRNA from 1 species